AAAAAAAAAUCAAUGUUGCAGGUUGUAGAAUUUAAGUUGUGUUGCGUCUAAGGAUAGCGCAUAAGUUCUAAUACAGCAACCUAUGCUCUUACAACGCUCAAGACUGCUCAUAUCCUUCGACGAAGAGAGAGUGUGAACUAAACUCGGCAUCCAUGAUCCACUCUCCCGGCACCCUCCUGGAUUCUACGCCUGUCAGUGUGCAUGCGCUUAGUGUGCAGCUAGUUUCCAAAGGGGACGUACCCCAAUCAAC
rnacentral:lncRNA from 1 species